UGCCAGCAGCCGCGGUAAUACGGAGGGUGCAAGCGUUGCUCGGAAUUACUGGGCGUAAAGCGGGCGCAGGCGGCCUGUCGGGUCAGGUGUGAAAGCCCGGGGCUCAACCCCGGAACUGCAUCUGAAACCGGCAAGCUUGAGUACGAGAGAGGGAAGCGGAAUUCCUGGUGUAGAGGUGAAAUUCGUAGAUAUCAGGAGGAACAUCAGCGGCGAAGGCGGCUUCCUGGCUCGAUACUGACGCUCAUGCCCGAAAGCGUGGGGAGCAAACAGGAUUAGAUA
rnacentral:rRNA from 1 species